GUUGGUUAUGGGGUCAGUAAUGGGGUGGGCUAUGGGGUUGGUUAUGGGGUGGGCUAUGUGGUGGGUUAUGGGGUCCGUUAUGGGGUCAAUUACAGGGUCGGUUAUGGGGUGGGCUAUGGGAUGGGCUAUGGGGUCAGUUAUGGGGUCGGUUAUGGGGUCCAUUAUGGAAUGGGCUAUGGGGUCAGUUAUGGGGUCGGUUAUGGGGUCCAUUAUGGGGUCGGUUAUGGGGUCUGUUAUGGGGUCGGUUAUGGGGUUGACUAUAGGGAGGGCUAUGGGGUCCGUUAUGGGGUCUGUUAUGGGGUUGGUUAUGGGGUCAGUUAUGGGGUCCAUUAUGGGGUCGGUUAUGGGAUCAGUUAUGGGGUCCAUUGUGGGUUGGGCUAUGGGGUUGGUUACGGGGUCAGUAAUGAGGUGGGCUAUGGGGUCGGUUAUGGGGUGGGCUAUGGGGUGGGUUAUGGGGUGGGUUAUGGGGUGGCGCCGCAUGCAGACGUGGGGCGGCCAUUGAAUCCCUUUAUUGCAGUGCACCCCGCGGUGCUCCGUGGUACAAAACGGCCCCCCCAAAUCCCCCCCCACCCCAACACCUUCUGAACCCCACCCCAAAAAUAGGACCCCCACCCCCCCCCCCACAUCCGGGGACCCCCAUCGGAACCCCCCCCGUAUGAAGGGGGGAGCGAUGGGGGGGUCAAUGUUGGGGGGCGAUGGGGGGGGUCAAUGGGGGUCAAUGGGGGUUAAUGGGGGUCAAUGGGGGUUAAUGGGGGGGUCAAUGUGGGGGG
rnacentral:lncRNA from 1 species